rnacentral:rRNA from 1 species
CGUGGUGUUGGGUUAGUCCGCUACGAGCGCUACCCUUGUCCUUAGUUGCCAGCCUUUAGUUGGGCACUCUAAGGAGACUGCCGGUGACAAACCGGAGGAAAGUGGGGACGACAUCUAGUCAUCAUGGGCCUUACGUGUAGGGCUACACACGUGAUACAAUGGGGUUUACACAGGGAAGCGAGACAGUGAUGUGGAGCGCACCCCUUAAAGAAUGUCGUAUUCCGGAUUGGAGUCUGCAACUCUCCUCCCUGAAAUCUGAAUCGCUAGUAAUCGCAGGUCGCAAUACUGCGGUGAAUACAUUCCCGGGCCUUGUACACACCGCCCUAUAAACCGNCGUAAAGCCCUAUA